rnacentral:rRNA from 1 species
UACGUAGGGGGCAAGCGUUAUCCGGAUUUACUGGGUGUAAAGGGAGCGUAGACGGCUUUGCAAGCCAGAUGUGAAAGCCCGGGGCUCAACCUCGGGACUGCAUUUGGAACUGUAUGGCUGGAGUGUCGGAGAGGCAGGCGGAAUUCCUAGUGUAGCGGUGAAAUGCGUAGAUAUUAGGAGGAACACCAGUGGCGAAGGCGAUUUGCUGGGCCAUUACUGACGCUCAUGCACGAAAGCGUGGGGAGCAAAUAGG